GGCUUGUCUGAAGGUAGUGAGUUACCUCAAUUGAUUGUUCACAGUUACAGAUCGAACUCCUUGUUCUACUCUUUCCCCCUUCUCACUACUGCACUUGGCUAGUCUUUA
rnacentral:Y_RNA from 1 species